ensembl:lncRNA
CUUUACCUGUAAUGUCCACUUCUGAAGCCACAACAUACACUACAACUGGUAAGUUCCUGAUAAAACAUUUUCAGGUUAUUACAUUAUUCUUAAAUUAGAAAAACAAUUCCCUUCUGAAAAAUGAUUCCCAUUGCCAUUUUUAUUUUAAUAUUUGUAAAACUAAAACAAACCUUAAAAUGUCCUCCUCUCAUGAUCAUAUCAUGCUGCAUAUUAAUAAAAUAAUAAUAAGAAUAAACAACUACACAUAAUGCAUCGGAUUUUGUGCAAUUAAAUGUAUUCCCUUAAUUUAAUAUAAACUGUAAUAUAAAAUGGAUUAAAUUAUUUUUUUCUUUUGAUAGAUCCAUUGCUUUAUUUCUGUCUGGACUCAUAGGAUUCAUCUGUCUGUACCGCUUGACCAGUUCUGCUGAUGUUCUCACAGAACUGAACUUGACCUCCUGCCAGAUGGAAACAACAUCUCUUUUAACUUCCUCUGUGUGCUCCUCAAAACAUGAAUGACCUGUUUAUGUUCUUCACUGCAUAUUAAAUCUAAUUUCUAUAGCCUAGUUUUUACUGCAUAUUAAAUCUAAUUUCUAUAGCCUAGUUUUUACACUUUUUUUAAUCAGCUAGUUUAAUAUACACGCACAUGCAAGUUCUAACAAAAAAGUUUAUAUUUUCACUGCAAUUGUUAUAGUCUGUCAAACAGUUGUCUGACCAAUAAACAAAUUAAUCAUUUGUGUGCUUUUAUAAUUUCCAUAUUAUUAAAUUUGAUAUCAUAAUCUAAUCUAUGUUCAAGUCUAAUAGUAGUAUUUUUGGCAUAUUUAAAUGUUACUUUUUAAAAAUUACCUUCUGUCUUCAGUAUAUGAGUUUGAGCACAAAAUGUGCCCCAGAUCUGCCUUCUGUUAACAUGAAUUUGAGUUGUACAUGUGAUCACAUGAUCUACAUUUAUAGAACUGACUGCACAAUGGAUAAAAAUGGUUUUCUGUGGUCUGAUGCCCUACUUCCUAAUUCCUCAAUUGUAUGUGUCGUUGCUUUUCUGACAUUCGCUGUAAUGGAGUUGAUCGUUUUCAUAGUGAUUCAGCUCCUGAUGGAGGUUCAGUCCUACACAUCUCCUAGUGUAAAAGUAUCUCCAGAUGUCAUAAGAGAGUCCAGCUCAGUGAAGAUCAGCUGUGAGACACCAGCAGAUGUUCCUGUGAAUCAGUGUUACUUCUACAUAAACAGUGAGGAGAAGAAUGUAAAACCCAGUUGGAGAUGUGAGCUGGAUCUCACUGGUGCUGAAGUGUUCAGAUGGGCAGCUAUAAAAUCACCUGGAUCACUCAACAUUAUCUGUUACUACACAAUACAGGGGAUUGAUAAAACAUUCAAUCAUUCUCCUCCUGCCACAGUGACGGUUCGAGCUUUACCUGUAAUGUCCACUUCUGAAGCCACAACAUACACUACAACUGCAUCUCCUACUGUAAAAGUAUCUCCAGAUGUCAUAAGAGAGUCCAGCCCAGUGAAGAUCAGCUGUGAGAUGGCAGCAGAUGUUCCUGUGGAUCUGUGUUAUUUCUACAUAAACAGUGAGGAGAAGAAUGUAAAAACCAGUUAUAGAUGUGAGCUCGAGCUCACUGGUGCUGAAGUGUUCAGAUGAGCAGCUGUAAAAUCACCUGAAUCACUCAACGUUUACUGUUACUACACAAUACAGGGGAUUAGUAAAACAUCACCUCAUUCUCCUCCUGCCACAGUGACGGUUCGAGGUGAGAAAUUUUGCUGCUGUUAGAAACUGUUACCACAAUGUUUUUUUUUUUUUUUUUUUUUUUAGUUAGAACUGUGGUUUAUUUCUCUUCAGGUGCACUUCAGAAACCCUUCAUUAGAGUGUUAGUAAAGAUAAUUGUGAUUUUGUGAGCUCUGUCCAAAUAUCUCUCUAAAAUAAUUUACAAAAACACCUUUUUAAAAACAUCCCAUUUAAUAAUCACAUGACUCAAGUUACAUCACCAGUAUGUGACAUGUGGUAUUUUUUAUAUUUAGAGGACCUGUACCUUCAACAAACAAACUUUGCUUUAAAGUUUGCAAAUAAUAUAAACUGACACCCUGUAAUUCUGAUAAAUUCUCUCCGCCGUUUCAACACCCACCAGCCACCACUAAACAAAGUACUUCAACAGCCAUUAAACCUGUGAGUGACUUUGUAAAUCAGUAUUUUUACUCCACCUUAAAUGUCCUAAAAUGUUAAUCAUUCCUUUACAAAAUCAAGUCAAGUGUAAAAUUAAUAUGUUGGAUUCAAAAGACAUUAAAAAAUAUAGCUGGGAUUCAUUUUCAAAGUUUGUGAUCAGUAUCUCAUAGUGGUGGCUCCUAAAGGUAAGCAGAAAUCAAAAAACACAGAGAAUUCAACAAAGGCAGCAACAUUUUUCAAGAUUACUUUGAUUAUGUUGGGGUUUUUUUUCAACAUGGUUACUAUUUGCUUAGGAAUUAUGUAUAUUUUUAUUAACAUUCUAUUUUAUUAUCUUUUCAAAAGCUUUAACUGUAAUGUCCACUUCUGAAUCCACAACACACAGUAAACUGGUAAGUUACUAAUAACACAUUUUCUGUUUAUGCUGGAUUAAAUUUGAGAAACGAUUCCCUUCUGAAAACAGAUUUCCCUUGCAAUUUGUUAUUUUAUAUUACUAGACCUCCAAUCCAAGACAAACAGCAUGACAAAGGAAACCAUGGGUAAGUUCAUCCACUCUUCCUCAGUAAUAAAAGUCAUUGUACAGAAUGAAUGUGUUGGAUU